GACGAACGCUGGCGGCGUGCUUAACACAUGCAAGUCGAGCGGAGCGGCGAACGGGUGAGUAACGCGUGAGUAACUGCCCCCCUCUCUGGGACAACAGUUGGAAACGGCUGCUAAUACCGGAUAGUGGGGGAUGACUCGCGUCCUAUCAGCUUGUUGGUGGGGUAGUGGCCUACCAAGGCGACGACGGGUAGCCGGCCUGAGAGGGCGACCGGCCACCUUGGUCUGAUAUGCGGCCCAACGUCCGCCGAGAGGCAGAAGGGGGGGAUCUUGCUCCAUGGGGUAAACCAUGUUGCACCACUCCGAGGGCGGGAUGGCGGCCUUCGGGUUGUAACCCGCUUUCACCCAGGACCAGUAGGUGUCAAAAGACCCACGGGCAAACUCCGUGCCGGCAGCCACUGUAAUUC
rnacentral:rRNA from 1 species